rnacentral:rRNA from 1 species
UACGUAGGGUGCAAGCGUUAAUCGGAAUUACUGGGCGUAAAGCGUGCGCAGGCGGUGAUGUAAGACAGAUGUGAAAGCCCCGGGCUCAACCUGGGAAUUGCAUUCGAGACUGCAUUGCUGGAGUACGGAAGAGGAGGGCGGAAUUCCCGGUGUAGCGGUGAAAUGCGUAGAUAUCGGGAGGAACAUCAGUGGCGAAGGCGGCCCUCUGGUCCAGUACUGACACUCAAGUGCGAAAGCGUGGGGAGCAAACAGG